GAAGCUGGCUUAAUGAACACCUUGGGCAGAAAACAAGGAGGCCUCCCUACCUCCACUUCAUCCCACACAGGAGUCUUGAUGCUGGGUGGGAGUCCAGGAGUCUGUCUAGGAAUCCAGGAAGGCUUCCUAGAGGAGGAGCCAUUGCAUCUGGGCCUUGAAGGAUGAAUAGAAGUUUCCUAGGCAGCGAAGGGCCAGGUACUCAGAAGACCACAGACAAGACCCAGCCCCAUGGCCUGCCCCAAAGAGUUCACAUCUCAUAAAUGAUGCUUGAAUAAUAACAAUAAUAGUAACAGCUCCCACAUGCUGAGUGUGCGCUGCUAGGACACAGCAUGUGACAGGAAUUCAGUGCCUGAAUGAAUGAGCCAAUAAAUUAAACUUUCUCUUUAAAAAAAAAAA
rnacentral:lncRNA from 10 species